rnacentral:rRNA from 1 species
CUUCUUUGCUGGCGACCGGCGCACGGGUGAGUAACACGUAUCCAACCUGCCCUUUACUCGGGAUAGCCUUUCGAAAGAAAGAUUAAUACCCGAUAGCAUAAUGAUUCCGCAUGGUUUCAUUAUUAAAGGAUUCCGGUAAAGGAUGGGGAUGCGUUCCAUUAGGUUGUUGGUGGGGUAACGGCCCACCAAGCCUUCGAUGGAUAGGGGUUCUGAGAGGAAGGUCCCCCACAUUGGAACUGAGACACGGUCCAA